rnacentral:rRNA from 1 species
UACGUAGGGGGCAAGCGUUGUCCGGAUUUAUUGGGCGUAAAGAGCGUGUAGGCGGCCUGAAAGGUCAGCUGUGAAAACUCGAGGCUCAACCUCGAGACGCCGGUGGAAACCAUCAGACUAGAGUCCGGAAGAGGAGAGUGGAAUUCCUGGUGUAGCGGUGAAAUGCGCAGAUAUCAGGAAGAACACCCGUGGCGAAGGCGGUUCUCUGGGCCUGUACUGACGCUGAGGAGCGAAAGCGUGGGGAGCGAACAGG